AGUACGUAUGUAUCGUUACGCGUACGCUAUAAUAUACGUACGCGACAACGUUAUAAUAUUUACGGUUUGCGAUAUCGCGUGUAUUAUUAUCGCUCUGAGAUUAUAAUAAUAUCGUUACGUUUAUACCACAGCGGCCGCAGUGUUAUACGCGACAUCGACGACGAACGUUCUCGGCAUCCCGGCGCGAUACGUUAUACGACAUCGACAUAGUACGGCCGCCGGCCCGGUUUCCGUAAUUCGGCGUGCGUUUUGUUUUUGGUUUUUUUGUUUUUUGUUUUUUUUCUGUG